rnacentral:piRNA from 1 species
UGCACUGCCGUGGUGGCCUUUGUGGUC